GGCUUUUCCCUUUUUUAUGGGGGGUGGGCGCAGAGAAUAAGUGCGGUCAGGUCGGUGCAUCCUUAGAAAACCCAAACCCAAACCUGACUUUUGUCCCGCUCCUCACUAGCCUCUGGGGUGUGGACUACAGAGGGGGUGUGGGGGAGAAAUCCAUCUCUUCUGGGGUCAGACUGCCAGAUCAUCAAAAAAAAGGGGGGGGGGAGAGAGACACACAAAUGCAACAAACACAGGAAACAGAAGGUUAAUAAAAUAAUACAAACCCAUCCUCAACAAGGGCAAAAAUAGUAAUAUUUAAAAAAAAAAACCACAACCAAAAAACUCCGGCAGCUCCAGCGCUCUCUUCCCUUUCCCGGUGCAGUUUCCUAGCUGUCUCUAAGAUUUAAUUUUAUAUGAUGAAAGGGGAGCUCUUAGCAGAAUACAGGAGAAACCCUUCCAUGACAAUCUCCCUAUGAGGAUACAGAACAACGCUACAGUGGACAACUCUAGGGAUUGUACUGGCACAUACGACUAGGAAGGACUGAAGUCAGAAGACAGCCAUUGAAGAGUGAAAUGGUGACUCCAGUUCAGCAAAGAACUUAAAGCUCCCGAGUAGCCCUACAGAAGUCAGUGAGACAACUCAAAUGUGUGCAGCUAAUAUAUCUUUGGUGUAUGUAAAAAGCGCACUUCGCUGGUUUGCUACAUACCACAAAUGCCAUCGUUACUGUCUUUUGACUUAUAAAACUAACAGCCGCCAAUUCAGAAUUGCAAAUAUUAAUGUAAAAUGUGUAUGUUGAGCUUAAACUCAAUGGACUUUUCAUAAAUUCAUAGAGUUUAAGGCCAGAAGUGAUCUCCCGUAUAUCACAGGCCAUUCCAUUUCACCCAGUUACCCCUGUAUUGUACCCUUUGCCCGUGUUUGCUACAAAGUUGGCAGAAAGUGAACAUAUCAGGACAAAUUUGUAUGACCUUCAAAUAAAAAAGUUAACUCUGUGUGUGUCUUCCUUCUUAUUUUCCAUGUUUUCUUCUCAUCUUCUCAGUGCUCUGUUUCCUCCCUCUUCUGAAGUCUGCACAGGUACCAGGGAGAGUGGGUGAGGGAAUGGUGCUCUUUGGGAGCCAGAGGGUGCACAGAGAAGGGGACAACAUUGUUGUUCCCUCAAACUAAAAUUUGAGAAGACUUGUCUAGGGGAUUCAUCCAGCGAAAGGAAAGGACAUAACACCAUUUUCCUCUUCCCUCCCUUUCACUCUUUAAUACAACCCGUAGUGACCCUGGCUUCUGUCCCUAGCAUUUAAUGCAAUUAUUAACUCUGCCUCCCAUAUGCCCCACUCCCUUUUUGUCUCUUCAUCCCCUCCUCCAAUUCCACCACCCCCCAGCUCCAAUUCUGAUCUGUUUUCCUGCCUGUUCUGCAUUCUCUGUUACCUUCCAAUGGGUAUUUCAAUGAUGAGUGAAGCAUGCUUUAGAUAAUAUUUAUUUAGGGCUAGAUUGUAGAGUUACCGCUAAUCCUGAGAAAGGGGAAGCCUGAAGUUGUACUGCCCCAGGAGAAGAACAGGGACCAAAUUCUGGCUCAUACUUACUGUUUGGUACUUGACUUCCCUAACUUGCUUCUCUGAGCCAGGAGGGGGGAGUUAAUCUGUGCCAGCCCUUUGCCUGGUGCCGAUUACUUUCCU